GCCGCUGUGGUGGAGAUGGCCCGCCGCGCCCUGGCCCAGCGCCUGGCGCACACCCCGGUGUUCGAAUCGCCGCAGCAGGUC
rnacentral:tRNA from 1 species